rfam:Monodelphis domestica chromosome 2, whole genome shotgun sequence.
GUUGAGGAUUGGGUCUUUGUGGGCGAGAUGAGGGUGUCAGUUCAACUGGCCUACAAAGUCCCAGUUCUCGGU